CCUACGGGUGGCAGCAGUGAGGAAUAUUGGUCAAUGGGCGGAAGCCUGAACCAGCCAAGUCGCGUGAGGGAGUAAGGCCCUACGGGUCGUAAACCUCUUUUGCCGGGGAACAGUGCCCAGCUCGUGAGCUGGGAGGGAGCGUACCCGGAGAAAAAGCAUCGGCUAACUCCUGGCCAGUAGCCGGGGUAAUACGGAGGAUGCAAGUGUUAUCCGGAUUUAUGGGGUUUAAGGGGGGCGUAGGCGGGCCUUCAGGCCGGCGGUAAAAUUGGGGGGCUCAACCCCGCCGAGCCGUCGGAACCGGGGGCGUGGAGUACAGGAGAAGUACGCGGAAUGGGUGGUGUAGCGGUGA
rnacentral:rRNA from 1 species